rnacentral:lncRNA from 13 species
AUGAUCACUUUCUCUUUCCUCCAAGCCCUGAAACUUUGGUCCUCAAAAGAGCAUUUCUUUGAUUAUUUUUUUUUUUUCCAAAUUCUUUUUUUUUUUUUAAUUAUAUUGCAUUUUAGGUUUUGGGGUACAUGUGCAGAACAUGCAAGACAGUUGUAUAGGUACACACAGGGCAGUGUGUUUUGCUUCCUUUCUCCCCUUCACCCACAUUUGGCAUUUCUCCCCAGGCUAUCCCUCCCCAGCUCCCCUCCCGCAGGCCCUCCCCUUUUCCCCUCAAUAGACCCCAGUGUUUAGUACUCCCCUCCCUGUGUCCAUGGCUUCUCAUUUUUCAUCACCCACCUAUGAGUGAGAAUAUGUGGUAUUUCAUUUUCUCUUCUUGUGUCAGUUUGCUGAGAAUGAUGUUCUCCAGAUUCAUCCAUGUCCCUACAAACAACACGAACUCAUCAUUUCUGAUUGCUGCAUAAUAUUCCAUGGUGUAUAUGUGACACAUUUUCCCAAUCCAGUCUAUCAUCAAUGGGCAUUUGGGUUGGUUCCAGGUCUUUGCUAUUGUAAACAGUGCUGCAAUGAACAUUCGUGUGCAUGUUGUCCUUAUAGUAGAACGAUUUAUAGUCCUUUGGAUAUAUACCCAGUAAUGGGAUUGCUGGGUCAAAUGGAAUUUCUAUUUCUAAGGCCUUGAGGAAUCGCCACACUGUCUUCCACAAUGGUUAAACUAAUUUACACUCCCACUAACAGUGUAAAAGUGUUCCUUUUUCUCCACAUCCUCUCCAGCAUCUGUUGUCUCCAGAUUUUUUAAUGAUCACCAUUCUAACCAGCGUGAGAUGGUAUCUCAAUGUGGUUUUGAUUUGCGUCUCUCUGAUGACCAGUGAUGAUGAGCAUUUUUUCAUAUGAUUGCUGGCCUCAUAUAUGUCUUCUUUCAUAAAGUGUCUGUUCAUAUCCUUUGCCCAAUUUUGAAUGGGCUUUUUUCCUGUAAAUCUGUUUGAGUUCUUCGUAAAUUCUGGAUAUCAGCCCUUUGUCAGAUGGGUAAACUGCAAAAAUUUUUUCCCAUUCUGUUGGUUGCCGAUUCACUCUAGUGACUGUUUCUUUUGCCGUGCAGAAGCUUUGGAGUUUCAUUAGGUCCCAUUUGUCUAUUUUGGCUUUUGUUGCCAAUGCUUUUGGUGUUGUGUUCAUGAAGUCCUUGCCUACUCCUAUGUCCUGGAUAGUUUUGCCUAGAUUUCCUUCCAGGGUUUUUAUGGUGCCAGGUCUUAUGUUUAAGUCUUUAAUCCAUCUGGAGUUAAUUUUAGUGUAAGGUGUCAGG